rnacentral:lncRNA from 1 species
UUUUUGUUUUUUUUUUUUUAAGCGAAGAUGCAGCCACACCACAAGUUCAAAUUGCCCAGGACUCAUUCUAAGGAUCAAAACAGUCUGAGGCUUCCCCGUGAAAGUGCCCCCAGCAGAUGAGGGACAGGUUUCUAGAGGCCAAGUUCCUGAGCAAAGUUUUAAAAUGUAGGCACAUGAAAAUAAGUUGUCAUUAACCCUGUGCUAUGAUAAAAUGACAACAACAAAAACUGACGAACCAAAGGAAAAAAAAAAUACUUAUAGUAACUGAGAUCCUAAGUGAUUCUGUUUUCAUAGGAAUCUUGAUUUAAAUAUUUCUCUUAAUUUUUGUAAGAAAUUUUUUUUCUUUCAUAGUUGUUUUAAUGUCUAAGUGAAAAAAAAGUGCUUGAUUUAUUACUGAGAUAUAUCUGGUCCUUUUCUGAAAAGAAAGAGACCUCUCAAUGAGUAUUUAUUAUUAAGAAAUCACUGGGACAAGAUUUUGGAGUUAAAAGCAUCUAUUUUGAGGUUUUUCUUUACUAAUUUAACCUGAUUUUACCCAUGCAAACAGCUAACUCAAAGAGGGUCAUGUUACUCUGUCUUCAUUUUCAGCCAAAAGAUAGUGUAGACAAACUCAGGCAAACUAUUAUGAAUAUUGUCAUCCCUACUGUGAAUAUGAUUCAUAUACAUAGGACAGUAGGGCCAUUUUUUAAAGAACCACCAGCCUCCUUCCACUUUAAAGCAAUGCUGUUUUCCAAAAGUAACACAAGUAGAUGAUUAUGCCCCCAGUGACCAUGCAUGGAGUGUUAGGGUGCUCAGGUGAGCUUGGGAAACUCCUUCUAGGGGUUGCAGGUGGGAAGGGACUGACUGUAAGGGUGUGGGGCCCAUUCUUCCAGCUGAGAAAACAGCUUUGGUGACAAUGCCACCAAGAAUUGACGAUGUCACCAUGAGUCCCCAAAAUGCAGAUGGGGCUGUUCACAGAGGGAAGUAGAGGCAGGUCUCCAACACACCAGAGCACACCUCACCCACCGUGAGGGGGUCCAGGGUUUAGCAAGACAUCUUAUUCCUGAAACGAGGUAGUCUCAAUGUAAAGAAAAUGCUCCCCAGGGUUCUGUGAUGAGUUUGAUGAUUUUAAUUGAAAAAAUUGUUUCAAUCCAAAUCUGCCAUAAACAAAAACUGGGGGGCAUAAACUUAAACAUGUUAUUUUUUGUUGAAGUAUAAGUGAUUUACAAUACUAUAUAAGGGUCAGGUUUAUAACAUAGUGAAUUAGUAUUUUUAUAGAUUAUAUUCCAUGAAAAUUUACUACAAGAUAAUUGUUGUAAUUUUGCUAUGCAAUAUAUGCUUGCAGCUUAUCUGUUUUAUGUUUUAUUCUUGUAUUUUAUACUUCUUAAUUUCAUUCUCCUAAUUUGCCCCUCCCCCUUUCCUCUCCCUGCUGGUAACCACUACAUGUUUUCUGGAUCUAAGUCUAUUUAUGUUUGACUAUAUACUUUUGUUUAUAUGAUUUUUUUUAGAUUCCACCUAUAAGUGAUAUGUAGAAUUUGUCAUUCUCUGACUGACUUAUUUCACUAAGCAUAAUAUUCUCUAAGUCCAUCCAUGUUGCUGCAAAUGGUAGAAUUUCCUUAUGGCUGAGCAACAUUCCAUUAUCCAUAUUCCUCUGUUGAGGAACACUUAUGUUGCUUCCAUGUCUUGGCUAUUGCAAAUAGUGCUGCUAUGAACAUUGGGGUGCAUUGAUCUUUUCGAAUUAGUGUUUUUGUUUUAUAUGUGGCUAUAUACCUAGGAGUAGAAUUGCUGAAUCAUGGUAACUUUAUUUUUAAAUUUUGGAGGAAUCCCCAUACUGUUUUCCAUAGUGGCUACACCAAUUUACAUUCCUGCCAACAGUGCAGGAGGGUUCCCUUUUCUUCAUGUCUUCUCCCAGUAUUUGUUAUUUGUAGACUUUUUUUUUUAGUCUUUCUGUCUUUUCUAGGGCUGCACCUGUAGCAUACGGAGGUUCCCAGGAUAGGGGUCUAAUUGGAGCUGUAGUUGCUGUCCUAUGCCACAGCCACAGCAACAUGGGAUCCGAGCCAAGUCUGUGACCUACACCACAGCUCACAGCAAUGCUGGAUCCUUAACCCACUGAGCGAGGCCAGGGAUUGAACCUGCAACCCCAUGGUUCCUAGUCAGAUUCAUUAACCACUGAGCCAUGACAGGAACUCCUAUUUGUAGACUUUUUAACCAGUUAAUAUUUUUUAUUUAGGAAUUUAUGAUACUUGAGAAAAUCCAGAUUUUAGAACCAUUAGUAUCGAUUAUUACCUCACCCUGUUAGCAAGAGUGAUGGGGGCCAGGGAAAAGUAUUCUUUUUUUUUUUUUUUCCUUAGCUAUUUAUGCUCUAUAGGAGAAGAUUAUGACAAAUUUGACAAAAUGUGUUAGGACUUUGUAUACAUUUCACCUAGGAACUCAAAAUGUGCUUGCUGCUAAUUUGUCUUAUAUCCUCAUCAGUAUGGUGACUGUGGACCAAAGUGUUUAUGUGGCAUAUUGCCUUAGUUUUUAUGAAACUGCAAUUACAGUGUGAAUCAUAAGUUUGAUUAGAGAAGUGAGAAGGAUGCUAUGUGGUUGUCCCAAACAGCUCACAUUCACCAGGGCUGACUGCAUGGAAGCUCUUUGGCCUGUAGGAUGUAUGCAUUAUCUUCUUCACUUAAUCCUCUCCAUUUUAUAAAUGACAAGAUGGAACUCCUUUAGAGAAAUUAUGUGGGGUGGGCACAUCCCUUAACUGGGGACUGCAAAGCGUUUUUAGAUUCUAAGAUUAGAUUUGUAAGCACAUUGAGUUUUGGAAAUUACCGUUUUUAGAUUCUAAGUUUAGAUUUGUAAGCACACUGAGUUUUGUAAAUCAUACACUCACCUAAACUCUUCACCAGAUUAUCUCCAAUUAUCUGAGAUGUUCUAACCCAUCCUUAGAGCCACUUGAUCCCAUUUUCAGAUGUCACAGUUCUUCCUUUGAUGUGGGAGGGAUUGUCCUUGAUAGCUGUAAGAUGGGUGCUCAGUCUUGUCUGCCCACUGCUUUCCCAGAGGCUUAGAAUUUAUAUUAGCGUGAUCGUGCACCAAAGGACCAUACUAUUUCCCCAACCCUGAUAUCUGUAAGUAUAUAGAUCUCUGUGCCAAUUGCAAAUAAAGCCCCUCAGGAGGAAAAGCAAGGGGCCACAUGCAGACCAAGGAAUACCAACAGAGUGUAUCCUGUUUUGAAUGUGGUGCUGUGUUCCUGACGAGGCCUCUCUGGUAGCAUAUGGUGGUGUUGUCAAAUUGUACUAUUUACAGCCAUGGGGCUGGGCUUGUAGGACUCAUGGGGGAAAAAAAAUUAAAAGAACAAAAACAAUAUCCAUUAACCUCUUUGCUCUGAGUCAUUAUCACCAAUCAGUCUGGAGUUUGUUCUCAUUUUGCUUUGUGUUUUGGCCACCAGGUAAAUUCCCCAGUGACACAGAUGGCUUGUUGGAUGGAGCUCACCACUGAGCCUCUGGCCUGUCAGGCGGUUCAGCUGGUUGUCAGGAUAAAAGGACGACAGGGCUGGCUGCCUCUGUCUCCUGUGAGCUUCUCAAGUGACAAAUGCUAGUGCUUCAGAAACAAACAAACAAAAAGAGUAAGAGGAAAAAUGCCUGUGAGCGAGUGGAGGGCAGUUAUGUUCUUCAUCUCACCUGCAUCUGAGAGCUUAGAUGUCACAGGAAUCAUUAGAACGCCUCAUAGGAGAACACAGGAACAGGCUGCUCUGUUUUAUUAUUUUCUUUUCUUUAUUAAAGUAUACUCGAUUUACAGUGUUGUGUUAGUUGGCAGGCUGAUUAGCUCAGUUAGAGUGUGUGCUAAUAAAAUGUUGUGUUAGUUUCAGUGUACUGCAAAGUGAUUCAUAUAUAUAAAUUCUUUUUCAGAUUAUUAUCCAUUAUAGGUUAUUGGAAAAUAUUGAGUAAAUUUCCCUGUGCUAUGUAGUAGGUCUUUGUUGAUUAUCCAUUUUAUAUGUUGUAGUUUUUAUCUGCUAAUUCAAACUCCUAAUUUAUUCCUCCCCUCUUCCACUUUGGUAACCUUAAGUUUGUUUUCUAUGUUUGUGGUCUAUUUCUGUUUUGUAUAUAAGUUCAUUUGUAUCCUAUUUUAGAUUCUACAUGUAUAAUAUUUGUCUUUCUCUGAUUUACUUCACUCAGUAUGAUAAGCUAUAGGUUAUCCUAGUUUCCGCAAAUGACAUCAUUUCAUUCUUUUUUAUGGCUAAGUAAUAUUCCAUUGUAUAAAUGUACCACAUCUUCUUUGUCCAUUCAACUGCCUAUAGAAAUUUAGGUUAUUUCCAUGUCAUGGCUAUUGUGAUUAGUGCUGCUAUGAAUGUUGGGGUGCAUGUAUCUUUUCAAAUUAGAGUUUCCUCCUGUUAUAUGCCCAGGAGUGGGAUUGAUGGAUCAUUUGAUAGUUCUGUUUUUAGUUUUUUAAGGAACCUCCCUCCUGUUCUCCAUAGUGACUGCAUUAUUUAUUCAUCAGAAUACAGAAACAUAGACCAUCAUCUCAACACGCAGCUCAGUAGAAAGUCAGGACAGAACUGUACAGGAGGAGCACACAGGGAGAUAUGGACUUAGAAGUAGCAUCUAAGGAAGAUUGCAUGGGUUUAAGGCUCAGGAAAUGGCAGAUGUUCACCCACCAGGCAGAGACAUGGGUCUUGGUCUUAGAGCAAGACCAGCUUCCAUGAAAGUUUGGAGAAAUGUGCAGGGUGAGGUGGUUUGGGACCUCAUUGGCUGAGCACAGUCUGUGGGUUCAUCACAUGGUCCCUGUGCCUGGCUGCUCCUACCCAUGCAGACAGUCCUGGGGACCCUUCCCUCCACAUACUGUUCAUUCCUGACCUCAAGCCUGAGCUUGGCUCUUGCCUUGGCCUUGUGUCUUUUCUAUGUAUCCUUCCUGGUCUUGUUGCAGGACACCUCCUGCCUCUUAGUACCAGGGAGAGGAGUCCUUCUUUGUAUCAACCUCCUGCAGUACUCCCAUCAGGAUUAACCACUGAUAUGUCUAUUUCUCUGAGUGAUACUGAAUGGUGACUGGGUGCCAGAUGUGCUCAGACAUGGGGUCCUGACAAAAAUGAUCCAUAGGAGAAGUUUGUGUUGGACUCCACCCUUAACUCCCCCUUGCUACUUAGAGUCUGUUGUCCUGGAAUGUCCCCCUAAUUCUUCCCCAUGACCCUCAAUAUGUCCAUCUCAGCAGCUUAAGACAUUUAGGUUGACAUGGUUCCUGCAGAUAAUCUUGUAAAGGGCUUCUACUGCCAAUUCUUCAGGAACAGGUCCUUAGCACAAAAUAAUUAGCCAGCAUGUCCAAACUGAUGAAAUGUCAGAAAAUUUUGAAGGGGUUCUCAUAUCAGCUACUCUUUAUGAGUUUCAACAGUGUUUUUAUAAAAAGAAGUGUCUUAAUCACCACAAAGCUCUGAUGGUAGAAAUGUUAAGUGAGGAAGAAAUAAGAGGCUUUUAAAAAGUUCAUAUUCAAGUCAGGGCUCCUGGCUAGUUGGCAGCUCCAUCCACACACAGGGCAGCUUCCCUUUCACAACAGUGUUAAACUCAAAAAGCAAAAGCAAAAACCCAACUGGAACAAUGAUAUGUUUUCCAUAUGAAUGUUGCUUCUUCUUUUAUUGAAAUGCAUGUCAUUGUUCUUGAGGCUGGAAGGCUGAAGAUGAGUGAUGGCGUUUUCCAACUGUGCAGUCAAGCGCCGACCGCAGAACAAUGCGCUUUAAUAAACCUAGUGCAAAGUAUCCGGAGGGCUUUGAUCAGCAGGUGCAUCUGGGCAUCACACUACUUCUCUUUCCUUCCUGUUUCCUUCUUUCUGAUGAAUAACCAAAUUAGACUGGAUGGCAGAAAACUUCUUGCAACAGAGUUCGUGUGAACUUCAGUAUCCUGAUUUUACUUUCACCUUCAUCUGAGAAUUUGCCUCCAAAGAAAAAAAUAAAAUAAAACGAAGGAAUAAAAGGACGUCUGUCUCUUAGAUUGCAAAGCACCUGAUGUUCAGGUUGGUCUCAG